rnacentral:rRNA from 1 species
CAGUAGCCGCGGGAAUACGGAGGGUGCAAGCGUUAUCCGGAUUUAUUGGGUUUAAAGGGUCCGUAGGCGGACUUAUAAGUCAGUGGUGAAAGCCUGUCGCUUAACGAUAGAACUGCCAUUGAUACUGUAAGUCUUGAGUAUAUUUGAGGUAGCUGGAAUAAGUAGUGUAGCGGUGAAAUGCAUAGAUAUUACUUAGAACACCAAUUGCGAAGGCAGGUUACCAAGAUAUAACUGACGCUGAGGGACGAAAGCGUGGGUAGCGAACAGGAUUAGAUACCCGUGUAGUCCCUGUCUCUUAUAC